CCUACGGGAGGCAGCAGUGGGGAAUCUUGCGCAAUGGGCGAAAGCCUGACGCAGCCAUGCCGCGUGGAUGAUGAAGGUCUUAGGAUUGUAAAAUCCUUUCACCGGUGAAGAUAAUGACUGUAGCCGGAGAAGAAGCCCCGGCUAACUUCGUGCCAGCAGCCGCGGUAAUACGAAGGGGGCUAGCGUUGCUCGGAAUUACUGGGCGUAAAGGGAGCGUAGGCGGACAUUUAAGUCAGAGGUGAAAUCCCGGAGCUUAACUUCGGAACUGCCUUUGAUACUGGGUGUCUUGAGUGUGAGAGAGGUAUGUGGAACUCCGAGUGUAGAGGUGAAAUUCGUAGAUAUUCGGAAGAACACCAGUGGCGAAGGCGACAUACUGGCUCAUUACUGACGCUGAGGCUCGAAAGCGUGGGGAGCAAACAGGAUUAGAUACCCUGGUAGUCCACGCCGUAAACGAUGAUUGCUAGUUGUCGGGAAGCUUGCUUCUCGGUGACGCAGCUACGCAUAAGACAUACCGCCGUCGGGAGGUACGGUCGCGAGAAUUAAACUAACAAAGAAAGUUAGACGGACGUGAGACGUGCCGAACGGACGACGACGAGGGAGGUAGG
rnacentral:rRNA from 1 species